rnacentral:rRNA from 1 species
CGAAAGCCUGACGGAGCAACACCGCGUGAGGGAUGAAUGCCUAUGGGUUGUAAACCUCUUUUCUCAAGGAAGAAAUUCUGACGGUACUUGAGGAAUAAGCAUCGGCUAACUCUGUGCCAGCAGCCGCGGUAAUACAGAGGAUGCAAGCGUUAUCCGGAAUCACUGGGCACAAAGCGUCUGUAGGUUGCUUAGCAAGUCUGUUGUUAAUGAUCAGGGCCUAACCCUGGGAAAGCAAUGGAAACUACUAGGCUUGAGUAUGGUAGAGGUAGAGGGAAUUCCUGGUGUAGCGGUGAAAUGCGUAGAUAUUAGGAAGAACACCAAUGGCGAAAGCACUCUACUGGGCCAUAACUGACACUAAGAGACGACAGCUAGGGGAGCAAAUG